UAGGGAACCUUCGGCAAUGGACGAAAGUCUGACCGAGCAACGCCGCGUGAGUGAAGAAGGUUUUCGGAUCGUAAAACUCUGUUGGUAGAGAAGAACGUUGGUGAGAGUGGAAAGCUCAUCAAGUGACGGUAACUACCCAGAAAGGGACGGCUAAAUACGUGCCAG
rnacentral:rRNA from 1 species